UACGGAGGGGGCUAGCGUUGUUCGGAAUUACUGGGCGUAAAGCGCGCGUAGGCGGACCUGCAAGUCGGGGGUGAAAGCCCGAGGCUCAACCUCGGAACUGCCUUCGAUACUGCGGGUCUCGAGUCCGGGAGAGGUGAGUGGAAUUCCUAGUGUAGAGGUGAAAUUCGUAGAUAUUAGGAAGAACACCAGUGGCGAAGGCGGCUCACUGGCCCGGUACUGACGCUGAGUGCGCGAAAGCCAGGGGAGCAAACGGG
rnacentral:rRNA from 1 species